rnacentral:rRNA from 1 species
UGCAAGUCGAACGGUGACGACGGGGCUUGCCCUGUCUGAUCAGUGGCGAACGGGUGAGUAACACGUGAGUAACCUGCCCUUGACUCUGGGAUAACCGCGGGAAACGGCGGCUAAUACCGGAUAUGAGACGUACAGGCAUCUGUUGCGUCUGGAAAGAUUUAUCGGUCAAGGAUGGGCUCGCGGCCUAUCAGCUUGUUGGUGGGGUGAUGGCCUACCAAGGCGACGACGGGUAGCCGGCCUGAGAGGGCGACCGGCCACACUGGGACUGAGACACGGCCCAGACUCCUACGGGAGGCAGCAGUGGGGAAUAUUGCACAAUGGGCGCAAGCCUGAUGCAGCGACGCCGCGUGAGGGAUGAAGGCCUUCGGGUUGUAAACCUCUUUCAGCAGGGAAGAAGCGAAAGUGACGGUACCUGCAGAAGAAGCGCCGGCUAACUACGUGCCAGCAGCCGCGGUAAUACGUAGGGCGCAAGCGUUGUCCGGAAUUAUUGGGCGUAAAGAGCUCGUAGGCGGUUUGUCGCGUCUGCUGUGAAAACCUGAGGCUCAACCUCGGGCUUGCAGUGGGUACGGGCAGACUAGAGUGCGGUAGGGGUGACUGGAAUUCCUGGUGUAGCGGUGGAAUGCGCAGAUAUCAGGAGGAACACCGAUGGCGAAGGCAGGUCACUGGGCCGCAACUGACGCUGAGGAGCGAAAGCAUGGGGAGCGAACAGGAUUAGAUACCCUGGUAGUCCAUGCCGUAAACGUUGGGCACUAGGUGUGGGGCUCAUUCCACGAGUUCCGUGCCGCAGCAAACGCAUUAAGUGCCCCGCCUGGGGAGUACGGCCGCAAGGCUAAAACUCAAAGAAAUUGACGGGGGCCCGCACAAGCGGCGGAGCAUGCGGAUUAAUUCGAUGCAACGCGAAGAACCUUACCAAGGCUUGACAUACACCGGAAAAGUGCAGAGAUGUGCUCCCCGCAAGGUCGGUGUACA